rnacentral:rRNA from 1 species
AGAGUUUGAUCAUGGCUCAGAAUCAACGCUGGCGGCGUGCCUAACACAUGCAAGUCGAACGAGAAAGUGGAGCAAUCCAUGAGUAAAGUGGCGCACGGGUGAGUAACACGUGACUAACCUACCCUUGAGUGGGGAAUAACUUCGGGAAACCGAGGCUAAUACCGCAUAACACCUACGGGUCAAAGGAGCAAUUCGCUUAAGGAGGGGGUCGCGGCAGAUUAGUUAGUUGGCGGGGUAACGGCCCACCAAGACAGUGAUCUGUAUCCGGCCUGAGAGGGCGCACGGACACACUGGAACUGAAACACGGUCCAGACUCCUACGGGAGGCAGCAGUGGGGAAUUUUGCGCAAUGGGGGAAACCCUGACGCAGCAACGCCGCGUGGAGGAUGAAGUCCCUUGGGACGUAAACUCCUUUCGAUCGGGACGAUUAUGACGGUACCGGAAGAAGAAGCCCCGGCUAACUUCGUGCCAGCAGCCGCGGUAAUACGAGGGGGGCGAGCGUUGUUCGGAAUUAUUGGGCGUAAAGGGCGCGUAGGCGGCUGGAUAAGUCUUGUGUGAAAUCUUCGGGCUCAACUCGAAGUCUGCACAGGAAACUAUCCGGCUUGAGUGUGGGAGAGGUGAGUGGAAUUCCCGGUGUAGCGGUGAAAUGCGUAGAUAUCGGGAGGAACACCUGUGGCGAAAGCGGCUCACUGGACCACAACUGACGCUGAGGCGCGAAAGCUAGGGGAGCAAACAGGAUUAGAUACCCUGGUAGUCCUAGCCCUAAACGAUGAUCGCUUGGUGUGACGGGUACCCAAUCCCGCCGUGCCGAAGCUAACGCGUUAAGCGAUCCGCCUGGGGAGUACGGUCGCAAGGCUGAUACUCAAGGAAUUGACGGGGCCCGCACAAGCGGUGGGAGCAUGUGGUUUAAUUCGACGCAACGCGAGAACCUUACCUGGGCUCGA